AUCCUGGCUCAGGAUGAACGCUAGCUACAGGCUUAACACAUGCAAGGUCGAGGGGAAACGACAUUGGAAGCUUGCUUCCGAUGGGCGUCGACCGGCGCACGGGUGAGUAACGCGUAUCCAACCUGCCCACCACUUGGAGAUAACCUUGCGAAAGUAAGACUAAUACCCAAUGACGUCUCUAGAAGACAUCUGAAAGAGAUUAAAGAUUUAUCGGUGAUGGAUGGGGAUGCGUCUGAUUAGCUUGUUGGCGGGGUAACGGCCCACCAAGGCGACGAUCAGUAGGGGUUCUGAGAGGAAGGUCCCCCACAUUGGAACUGAGACACGGUCCAAACUCCUACGGGAGGCAGCAGUGAGGAAUAUUGGUCAAUGGGCGAGAGCCUGAACCAGCCAAGUAGCGUGCAGGAUGACGGCCCUAUGGGUUGUAAACUGCUUUUAUAAGGGAAUAAAGUGAGCCUCGUGAGGCUUUUUGCAUGUACCUUAUGAAUAAGGACCGGCUAAUUCCGUG
rnacentral:rRNA from 1 species